UACGUAGGGUGCGAGCGUUAAUCGGAAUUACUGGGCGUAAAGCGUGCGCAGGCGGUUUUGUAAGCCAGAUGUGAAAUCCCCGGGCUCAACCUGGGAAUGGCAUUUGGGACUGCAAGGCUCGAGUUUGGCAGAGGAGACUGGAAUUCCUGGUGUAGCAGUGAAAUGCGUAGAUAUCAGGAGGAAUACCGAUGGCGAAGGCAGGUCUCUGGGCUGAAACUGACGCUCAUGCACGAAAGCGUGGGGAGCAAACAGGA
rnacentral:rRNA from 1 species